CACUUGAACUCCAAUAUCAUGCUGCUGUCCAAACUGGAUUUUUUUGCAAGUGAUCUGUGGCAAGACUGGCACCAAUUUCCAGUGUUGCUGAGACCUACGCUCACACUCAUCCUCCUCUUAAGACUCUGGAUGUCAAAAUGUGGACCAAAGCAGCUCUAGAAAAUCACAUGCAGCAGUUGGAAAAAUGCUGUUCUAGAUUUUUCAGCUAGAUACUGGUGCAAAAAAGCCAUAGUCGAGAAAAAGACUAUGUACUUCUGUUUUUCAUCUGAAAACCCAAACAACAAAAUCCUUGACAAUAUUUCACAGCCUGUUUCUUCAGCAUGUAAUUCUGAUGCGUAGAAAUGAUAGCCUUGUAUCAAAUAGAUCGUUAAUGUAUGUGUAGUUUAUAAAGUGCUAAAUACUGUGUAUUCAUUCACUAACUUAAAAAAAUCACCUGAUAGAAGAAUAUCUUAAACUUCCUAAACAGUUUUAGAAAUGCUUAUCUUCAGACAGCCAUAUUCUAUGGUGUCCGUUGUCCUCUUGGGCUUCUACAGCUAUAACAGCAGGUACAAAGAAAAGGAUUUUAGUGGCAAUAUGUGGGUUGCAAGUUACAUAUGCUCGUUAGAAGUGUGGUGUCUUGGGCACUCAUGGAGAAAUGACUAAAAUAAUUUAUUUUUAUUUCACAUCUGUAAGUAGAAGUGGGAGUACAAUUUUCUUUUUAAUCAAGUCUCUUUCUUGUAUUUAUAUACACUAUGUAAUUAGCUGAAAGAAAUGGGUAUUUUACUAGUCAGGGAUCUGAAUGGCAUUUAUUUCAGUUGCUGUGUCUGUGGACCCCAUAAAUCUUGGUACUCCUAGUUGACAUGUCCCAUCUGACAUGUCCAUGUCCUGGCCCUCCCCAAAUAAAUUGCCUCGCCUGUAUGUUGGGAACGUACAAUACACUGUAGCAAAGCAAGACAUACAGAAUCAUAAUGGAGGAGGCAAUAAAGCCAAUCAAACUAUGCACAGUGCCUGCUCAGCUGUGCCUGUACUAGCAAAUGAGAAUGAGAAGGUUCUCUUCCAGAGAAGAAAAAGAAGUAUUUUAGAUGUGGCUUUUGAUCAUUGUAGUUCUGAAGAGUGUGUCAGACCUAAACCAGGUAAUCUUGCAGUAAAGGGAAGCUCAUCCUUGAAGGUCAUUAUUUCCUAG
rnacentral:lncRNA from 1 species